rnacentral:tRNA from 1 species
CAGAAUGUGGCUGAGUAGUUAAGCAUCUCACUUACACCGAGAGGACACCCGUGCAAAUAGGGUCAUUCUGA